rnacentral:lncRNA from 1 species
UUAUUUUAGGCCCAGAAAGGAACACGAAUUUCUCGUGGGAUUAUCUUUUCCGUCAGUUGGGUGCAGGAGGAGCGUACAAAAUUAAGCGACCCACUGUAGAUGCAGGACCCAGACGUUACGAAGAGAACUAAAGAGCUAUGAUAAAAAGCCAUAGGAAUGUAAUCAAAAUGGCUCUGAAACACCAACAGGACAUUAACUUAAAUUCUCAUUUUCUUUCAACUGUAUUUCGACGCUUUCCUUUUCAAGUAACAGUUGAGUAAUUAACAGAAGAAGUUACGUUAUAUAGUGGAAUCAAACAUAUACAAAACUCUCUCUUUUAUAUACAAUACAUAUAUAAUACAUAAUAUUAUUCAAUGUUAUAUCAUUGAUACUUAAAUAAACAAAACAAAUAGUUAAGUAAUAACGUGGAAUCGGAUCCAAAAAACUUUUCCUCUAGAAAAUAGAUAGAUAUAUUUUGACGGUAAAAUUUCAAUUGUAUCAAAAUAUAUAUUGUUUUGAAUUCAAUCCUGUAACAAGUAUUUUAAGAAAAAAAAUAUUUUAGAGAUAUAUUUGAUAUGAAAUAUACUAAAAAAAUAUGUAAUUUAAACUGAUUGAAAAAGUUUCAUUUAUUUAGAAUACCAAUUACUCAUUUUCAGUAAAUCAACUUUUUGUUACAAUCAUAUCCUUGUAAAUAAUUAUUAUGUAGUGAUUUAAGAAACUAUCCCUUUUUUCUAUAAGAAGUAGCAAAAUGUUUUCACAAAUACCUAUUAAGAUAUUUGCCAUAAACUAUUUGCUCAAUAUUAUCCAACUAUCGCAUUUGAAAACUGUUAUUGUUUCUGAGAAUAUUUUAUAUUAUUUGAAUAUUAAUCAUAUAUCGUUACAAGAAUCAGGAUUAUACAAAUUAUUUUAUGUUUACAUUGUGUACACCGAGUAUUUAGUCGGAUACAUAACAAUCAUUCCUUUACCAUGGCAACAUAUCAUUCAGCCUUUCCUUCAUUUACAUUUUAUCCUCAUACCAUGUAUUCAAGAAUAUGUAAUAAAUGUUUUAAUGUAUUA